AGUGAACGCUGGCGGUAGGCCUAACACAUGCAAGUCGAACGGCAGCACAGUAAGAGCUUGCUCUUACGGGUGGCGAGUGGCGGACGGGUGAGGAAUAAAUCGGAAUCUACUUUUUCGUGGGGGAUAACGUAGGGAAACUUACGCUAAUCCCGCAUACGACCUACGGGUGAAAGCAGGGGAUCUUCGGCCCUUGCGCGAUUGAAUGAGCCGAUGUCGGAUUAGCUAGUUGGCGGGGUAAAGGCCCACCAAGGCGACGAUCCGUAGCUGGUCUGAGAGGAUGAUCAGCCACACUGGAACUGAGACACGGUCCAGACUCCUACGGGAGGCAGCAGUGGGGAAUAUUGGACAAUGGGCGCAAGCCUGAUCCAGCCAUACCGCGUGGGUGAAGAAGGCCUUCGGGUUGUAAAGCCCUUUUGUUGGGAAAGAAAAGCAGCAGGUUAAUACCCCGCUGUUCUGACGGUACCCAAAGAAUAAGCACCGGCUAACUUCGUG
rnacentral:rRNA from 1 species